rnacentral:rRNA from 1 species
GACGAACGCUGGCGGCGUGCUUAACACAUGCAAGUCGAACGGAAAGGCCCUGCUUUUGUGGGGUGCUCGAGUGGCGAACGGGUGAGUAACACGUGAGUAACCUGCCCUUGACUUUGGGAUAACUUCAGGAAACUGGGGCUAAUACCGGAUAGGAGCUCCUGCUGCAUGGUGGGGGUUGGAAAGUUUCGGCGGUUGGGGAUGGACUCGCGGCUUAUCAGCUUGUUGGUGGGGUAGUGGCUUACCAAGGCUUUGACGGGUAGCCGGCCUGAGAGGGUGACCGGCGACAUUGGGACUGAGAUACGGCCCAGACUGCUACGGGAGGCAGCAGUGGGGAAUAUUGCACAAUGGGCGGAAGCCUGAUGCAGCAACGCCGCGUGCGGGAUGACGGCUUUCGGGUUGUAAACCGCUUUCGCCUGUGACGAAGCGUGAGUGACGGUAAUGGGUAAAGAAGCACCGGCUAACUACGUG